GUGCCAAGGUAACAUCGAUUUGCUUAGUCUCUUGGAUAAUUGCCAAACAUCACAAAAAAUUGUAGUGAAGAAGUAAGAAGUUUGGAAUAACUGGUACGAAUUGCAAAUUCCACACUUACCGCUCGAUAAGGUGCAGUACUACUUCGUUUGUAUUCCACUUUAAAGGACAUUGGAGAACUUACGCUGUGUGACAAUUCUGCUAUCUGGAAAUCAACAACAACAAUACUGAUAAUAAUAGCAUAUUGCCAUAAGACUACCAAACCAAGACUUUUUUGUAAGCUCAGGUGAAGAGUCAGGUGUAAGAUGAACCUAAAAAAGAUAUUUCAUCAUCAACAUUGAAUGACAGUUGAGUUACCUCCUCAGUACUAGUAAGUAAUUUACGUCGAUGGAAACGAGGGCUUCCGAGAAAGGAAUUUUUAAUAGUCGUGAGUCUAGAUCUCCAAUGAUGAGCACCAGUUCCUGCUCCAGUAUGUGGUGAUCCAGGGGGUGUUAAUCCAACUGUAAUAAAGAAAUAAUUACUUUAAUAAUUAAAUAAAGACUUAUAUUAAAUUA